rnacentral:lncRNA from 1 species
GAGCAGAGAGAACUGGAAAGGAGCGGUUCACCGUGUCAGCCCAAAGUGAUGCGUGUCGCAUGUACUCCACCUCCUGGUCUACAGCUAGUCAUGUGACCCGGCCUAACUCUAAGCAGACUAGGAGGUGAAGUCUUCUGUGUGCCCUGGAAGAAGGAAGAGGAAAUGGGUUUUGGUGAGCACAUAGCAUCAUCUCUGCCAAAUAGAACGUGCCCGAUGAGUGAGAUGUCCUGGCCUCAAUGAUCUUAUAAUGAAGUGUCUCUCAAGAGAAACAAUAUGAAAAGACCUAUUAUCAAUGCAAGGGAGGGAAAAACAGUUUACUGUAACAAGGCAACGACAAGUUUUUCCUUCCAUGUGGAGUUUCGAAAAAGUAGACACCCUGUCUGAAACUGCCAAGCCUGAUACUUAGAACAAAGCAGAUCUAAAGCCCGACAGAAGAGAAUCAUCUGGAGGUCACUCGAGAAGCAUUAUCCCGCCGGUAGCAUGUGCUCAUGUGUGGCCAAGCUAUUUGCAUAAAACCCAAACCUAAAGCUGUCCAGCUCUCUGAACAGUGAAGGGAGGACCUACACAGGUGAAGUGUGUUUAAAUUCCUUUCUUCAACAUGGAAGCCAAGCUUACAACCUCAUAUCGCCAAAUGAGUGCGUUUCAUAAAACGCGGAGCAGCCUGGUCAACUAGAAUGCAGUUGACGGUGUAACUGGCAUAUGUCCUCCUUCUGCACAUGAAUUAGUGGCCCCUACUGUCACCAUCCACCUGUUCUGCUGCAGUUGUCUUCCGACACAGCCUGUCGGGAUUUGCAUUUCUGUUGUUGUUGAGGAAGAUUGUCC